AUGAACGCUGGCGGUAUGCUUAACACAUGCAAGUCGAACGGUACCUUCGGGUAUAGUGGCGGACGGGUGAGUAACGCGUGAGAAUCUAUCUUCAGGUCGGGGACAACAGUUAGAAAUGACUGCUAAUACCGGAUGUGCCGAAAGGAAAAAGAUUUAUUGCCUGAAAAAGAGCUCGCGUCAGAUUAGCUAGUAGGUGGUGUAAGAGACUACCUAGGCUUCGAUCUGUAGCUGGUCUGAGAGGACGAUCAGCCACACUGGAACUGAGACACGGUCCAGACUCCUACGGGAGGCAGCAGUGGGGAAUUUUCCGCAAUGGGCGAAAGCCUGACGGAGCAAUACCGCGUGAGGGACGAAGGCUCUUGGGUCGUAAACCUCUUUUCUCAAGGAAGAUUCAGACGGUACUUGAGGAAUAAGCAUCGGCUAACUCUGUG
rnacentral:rRNA from 1 species